CCAGAGGGACAGGCAUUAAUGGAAGAGGCAGAGAGUGACGGUGACAGAGCUACAGGCAGCAGGCCAGAGAGGAGCCCUCCUAAGGAGCAGAAGCGAGGCAGGGGCACAGGAAAAGAACAAAAAGAAGGAAAGGCAGCUACCCUGCAAGGAAGCCAACACUUUAACAGACUAGAAAACCAAGGGGUAGUGAGGUUCCGUUAUCCUUGCUGGAAGUCACACGGCCGGUGUCCUUGCAAACGGGCACAGUGACAUUACCUACGCAGUUUCUGGCAGCAACAACCUUUUUACACAGCAAAAGAUCGGAAACAACCCAAAUGCCCAUCACGGGGGACUGGUUACAUGGAUGGGUAGACCAUACAAUACUCUGUGCAGUCUUCGAGAGAAGUGACGAACGCUUGAUGUAUGGAUAUGGAAUACUUCCCAGAACACAGUGUUCAGAAGAAAAGGCAAGCACGGGGCAAUGUGUGUAAGAGCCUGUCGUGUUUUUGAAAAGGAUAGGGGAAAGAAUAUUCCAGACAACAGGGGUUAUUUCUGGGAAGAAUAACUGCAGCUUAUCAAGAGCGAGAAUGGGAGGAAGACUUCAUCGAAUACGCUUUUGUCGUGUGUGAGUUUGGGGCUUUUGGAAGGCACGACCCCUUCAAAAUAAAGGAGUAAAAUGAAAAAUAAGUGU